ACCUGACUGCUAUCGGAUUGGUACUAAGCCAUGUGAGUCAUUGUAGCAAUACAAGGCAUACGGCUCAGUAACACGUAGUCAAUCUAACCUAUGGACGGGGAUAACCUCGGGAAACUGAGAAUAAUCCGCGAUAGAUCAUUAUGCCUGGAACGGUUUAUGGUCGAAAUGAUUCGUCGCCAUAGGAUGGGACUGCGGCCUAUCAGCUUGUUGGUGAGGUAAUGGCCCACCAAGGCUAUUACAGGUACGGGCUCUGAGAGGAGAAGCCCGGAGAUGGGUACUGAGACACGGACCCAGGCCCUAUGGGGCGCAGCAGGCGAGAAACCUUUGCAAUGUGCGCAAGCACGACAAGGUUAAUCCGAGUGUUUCCUGCUAAAGGAAUCUUUUGUUAGUUCUAAAACCACUGAUGAAUAAGGGGUGGGCAAGUUCUGGUGUCAGCCGCCGCGGUAAAACCAGCACCUCAAGUGGUCAGGAGGAUUAUUGGGCCUAAAGCAUCCGUAGCCGGUUCUGUAAGUUUCCGGUUAAAUCCACUAGCUCAACUAAUGGGCUGCCGGAAAUACUGCAGAACUAGGGAGUGGGAGAGGUAGACGGUACUCGGGAGGAAGGGGUAAAAUCCUUUGAUCUCUUGAUGACCACCUGUGGCGAAGGCGGUCUACCAGAACACGUUCGACGGUGAGGGAUGAAAGCUGGGGGAGCAAACCGGAUUAGAUACCCGGGUAGUCCCAGCUGUAAACGAUGCAGACUCGGUGAUGCACUGGCUUAUGGCCAGUGCAGUGCCGCAGGGAAGCCGUUAAGUUUGCCGCCUGGGAAGUACGUACGCAAGUAUGAAACUUAAAGGAAUUGGCGGGGGAGCACCACAAGGGGUGAAGCCUGCGGUUCAAUUGGAUCAACGCCGGAAA
rnacentral:rRNA from 1 species